CGUUAGAUUUCUAUUCAUCUGUCUGUUUUGAGCCAAACGGACUAUAGCAUGAACAACGAUACCAGCAUCGGGCAAAGGCGACAUACACACAGCAGAUCGUAACGUACUAGUAUUCCAUGAAGAUUAUAUAAAUAUGUUCUUUUCCAGCAAACAUGUCGGACAAAGUGGAACAAGUUUUAGCCUCUGAUGAGGCCAACUAUGGGGCCAUUGCUGCUGUUGCAACCCUGCUGAUCCUCGUUGUAGCAGUUCUGUUGUACGACUCCACGUGUCGCGGUAGCAGCAUCAAGAAGAGGAGAGCAAGAAGCGGGAACUAUCAGAUGCACGGAGUCACUGCUGGAACCGGGUAGACCUGCAAUACUGUAUCCCCAGCAAUCACGCUACACCGUCACGGAAGAGAAGGACACUGCAUGUAUCGAUGUGAGAGGAUGU